rnacentral:rRNA from 1 species
UAUGUAGGGGGCAAGCGUUGUCCGGAAUCAUUGGGCGUAAAGAGCGUGUAGGCGGCUUGGUAAGUCCGCUGUGAAAGUCCAGGGCUCAACCCUGGAAUGCCGGUGGAAACUGUCAAGCUUGAGUCCGGAAGAGGCGAGUGGAAUUCCUGGUGUAGCGGUGAAAUGCGCAGAUAUCAGGAGGAACACCAAUGGCGAAGGCAGCUCGCUGGGACGGUACUGACGCUGAGACGCGAAAGCGUGGGGAGCAAACAGG